GACAGAAAACAGGAGAAAAAUAGCAAGUGGGUGAAACAUGUAUCUGGGCCUGCUGAGCUGAGGGUGUAGGAAGAAUCCAUCACACGAGGCUGUUAAACUCCCACAGCAUUCACAGCAUCAGGUAUAGUGGAACGGUAGGAAAGACAAGGCAGUUCAUCUAGAAAGCUCAGCAGAUACAAAUCUCGGAAUGAAGCCAUGCUACUACCAUUAGAGUUGAACAAAGCCAGGAUUCAGGCUGUCAGGGACUGGAGUAUGGUUAACCUACUAGUAGAAUUUAUCCGACUCAUGUUUACUUGCUUAAUUUAGAAAAUGUAAGCUCCAUUAAAGAAGGUUUCUUUUCCUUCUCAUUUUCUCAGUCAUCCUAGCGCCUUGGAGAGGCCCAAGCACUCAUUUGUAGAGGAAUUUAAAUAGUGUGCUGGGAAUUGCCAUUAGAAAUUCUUGGAAAGAGCUGGAGAGAUGGUACAGCUGGCAAAGUACUGGCCACGUAAGAACCCAGUUCCCAUCCCUCAAACUCGCAUUAAGAAGCCAGGCAUGGUGAUGCUCACUUUAAAUCCCCAAACUGGAGAGUCAGAGACAGGAGGAUUCCCACGAUUCAGUGAUCAGCCAGUGGAGCAAAAUCAGCAAGCCCCAAACCACCAAGAGAGACUCUGCCUCACAAAACAAGAUGGAUGGCUCUUGAGUUAAGGAGGUGGUAAUAUCAACUCUAGAGAUGAGGCAAGAAAGUUUGGCUCCUAUGAAGAACUCUAACUCCUAUUCUAGGCUUCUCUAAUAUUAUGAAGCAGAAAGCCAUACUGUGUGGCACGGGCUGCUUUCCCCCAGCACACAGAAAUGCACAUGAUUCUUUCUCCUACUUCAACAGUGACUCAGAACAGACUUGGAAAUGAGACACGGAAUCCUGACACUCUCCUCCUGUUCUAAGUCAUGAUUGUCAACAACAAACCUGUAUUUAUCUAAAUAAAAUGAGGAAGUGUGUUUAAGGAUUCCUGGGGAAUCAUCAUUUCUACCUCAUAUGAAGUGGAGGCCCUCUCUUGGCUUUAAGUGGGCAGAGUGAUGAACAUUUUUAAACAUUAUAUAUUCCUUGAUAAUCUCACCCAGGGAUCCAUCAUAUCCACCUCAAGUCCUCCCCUCUCUUCCUUUUACAAUUCAUAAACUAAAUGUAUUGUGGCAUUUUAGGAAUUAGGAUCCCGAGUUGGAAUAAAUCCUGCAGAGCAUUCUUAAAUUACCUCACUUAGCUGGGCUUGGGCCCCACGAUAUUCUUGAACCAAGUGCUCAAGUUGAUUGUUAAUGUACUUUUCUCGGCUGCCAAUCUUUUCCAGAGUCCUGCUAAUUUCAUUAUGGAGCUUGUCCAAAAACCCCUAGAAAACCAUGGGAUUUUAGAAGACAAAAUAAGUAAGUUUUUCAAGACUGGUAAAAAUAAGUUAAAUACUCUUCAACCCAAUCCACAAAUGUGUGCAAAUGAAGACAGUUUGAAAUUUCAACAACAAACUCUAUGAUGAGAAACACUUUAGUCACACCAUAACUUUCAUAAAAGAAGCCAGAUGUGAUGGUUCAGUCCUGUAAUCCAUCGAGCUUGGAGGCUGAAGCAAGGGAACUACCCAUGGGUUACUCAUGGACCCUGUCUUCAGAAAAGGGGAGCUUGGUAGUGUGAGCGAUCUCUUGUUGCCAUGCAUGCCUAAGGUUUAUGACAUAGCAAUAAGUUGUAUGUAAACUUCAAAAUCAAAGCAGCUAAGGACUAAUAUGACUACCUAGAGCUGGGACCCACAGCUUUGCAUUCAGCUUGCUUCUUUAUGGCAUUCUCUAAAGAUCCCACUUCUACCAUGGCAACAGGGCUCUGGGAGCUGCAAGUCCUAGCCAUUGUCAGCCUGGGGUACAUAUAACGUUGACAAUCAAGAGAAAGAUUGAUAUGUAUCUAAAACAUCUAUUAGCUAUAUGCGUGUAAUGUGAUAGCCAUGCACAUAUUUAAAAUACAAAUGAAUUGUAGGCAUAUGUACUACCACAUCUGACUAUAAGUAGCUUCUAUUUAACUAGCUUGCUUUACUUGGUGCAAUCAUUGAGAUGUGAAGAUGUAUUAUGGAAUAUUCAAUUAACCAUAUUCU
rnacentral:lncRNA from 1 species